rnacentral:rRNA from 1 species
UGGGGAAUAUUGGACAAUGGGCGCAAGCCUGAUCCAGCCAUGCCGCGUGAGUGAUGAAGGCCCUAGGGUUGUAAAGCUCUUUCACCGGUGAAGAUAAUGACGGUAUCAUAGGAGGAAGCCCUGGCUAAAUACGUGCCAGCAGCCGCGGUAAUACGUAUGGGGCGAGCGUUGUCCGGAAUUAUUGGGCGUAAAGGGUACGUAGGUGGUUUUUUAAGUCAGGUGUCAAAGCGUGGAGCUUAACUCCAUUAAGCACUUGAAACUGAAAGACUUGAGUGAAGGAGAGGAAAGUGGAAUUCCUAGUGUAGCGGUGAAAUGCGUAGAUAUUAGGAGGAAUACCGGUGGCGAAGGCGACUUUCUGGACUUUUACUGACGCUCAGGUACGAAAGCGUGGGGAGCAAACAGG